AGGCGAGGGCCCUUUCCCACGGUAACUUUUCUGCAAUGUAUAUACGCUCUUCUGCUCCUAUGCCCUCCUCUUGCAGGUCGCCAUCGACCUCAAAUCUGGUGUCGACGAUUCCAUGGACAAUGUCCUUAUUGUGUUUGGUGAAAUGGGCAGAAGCUCGCGUUGCUCGUGCUUCUCAGAAGAACGCAGUUGUCUGCUAUGCAGUGCGAAGGUUUGUUGAAGUAUGAGUACACCAAAUUUCAAGCGACACACGAUAAGUUUUGCAAAGACAAAGGUGCACAUAUACAGAAUUUCAAAGGUAUGCCAGAUAAGAGAUAAGCAGCAACCUAUUGUGAUGUGCGAUAUUUCUUAUCAUCCAUCUUUAUCGAUGUCAUGCUCAAGCAGUAAUAUCCUUAUAAAGUUAUAGUUUCGUCUUGCACAUGUCAUGCUUAUGCAGGUCUCAGAAUAUCCUAACCGUUUCAUCUGAAAUAUGACAUGUUUUGAUCUCGAUGUCCAGAUAUUACUUGGCUACAAAUGAGUUUUGUAGUUUGCCUGUUUGUUAUUAUAGGGAACCUAUAGACAAUUUGACCUUGGGAAACUCCAGUAUGCGCAUCUGUAUAAUUUGCUAGCAGUUUUACAGCUACUAAAUGCCUUUAAUCCUACUUCAUGUCGUAAUGUGAAAUCAUGCAUAGAGUGCUGUGCUGUGCCUAUACUAUCUCUUCCUGAGUUUCACUGAGAUAGCUAUCAUCAGUUAUACACACUCGUUUCAAUUGACUUAUCUGUCUGCUGUUUUCUGCAGAUCUUUUCUCUGAUUU